AAAUCCUACGGGAGGCAGCAGUGGGGAAUAUUGCACAAUGGGGGAAACCCUGAUGCAGCGACGCCGCGUGAAGGAAGAAGUAUUUCGGUAUGUAAACUUCUAUCAGCAGGGAAGAAAAUGACGGUACCUGACUAAGAAGCCCCGGCUAACUACGUGCCAGCAGCCGCGGCAAUACGUAGGGGGCAAGCGUUAUCCGGAUUUACCGGGUGUAAAGGGAGCGUAGACGGCAGCACAAGUCUGGAGUGAAAUCCCGGGGCUUAACCCCGGAACUGCUUUGGAAACUGUGCGGCUGGAGUGCAGGAGGG
rnacentral:rRNA from 1 species